UGGGGAAUAUUGGACAAUGGAGGAAACUCUGAUCCAGCAAUUCUGUGUGUGUGAAGAAGGUUUUAGGACUGUAAAACACUUUUAGUAGGGAAGAAAAAAAUGACGGUACCUACAGAAGAAGCAACGGCUAAAUACGUGCCAGCAGCCGCGGUAAUACGUAUGUUGCGAGCGUUAUCCGGAAUUAUUGGGCUUAAAGGGCAUCUAGGCGGUAAGACAAGUUGAAGGUGAAAACCUGUGUCUCAACCAUAGGCUUGCCUACAAAACAGUUGGACUAGAGUACUGGAGAGGGGGGUGGAACUACACGAGUAGAGGUGGAAGUCGUAGAUAUGUGUAGGAAUGCCGAUGAUGAAGAUAACUGACUGGACAGAAACUGACGCUGAAGUGCGAAAGCUAGGGGAGCAAACAGG
rnacentral:rRNA from 1 species